rnacentral:rRNA from 1 species
GAUGAACGCUGGCGGCGUGCUUAACACAUGCAAGUCGAACGGGAAACCUUUUAUUGAAGCUUCGGCAGAUUUAGCUGGUUUCUAGUGGCGGACGGAUGAGUAACGCGUGGGUAACCUGCCUUAUACAGGGGGAUAACAGUCAGAAAUGGCUGCUAAUACCGCAUAAGCGCACAGAGCUGCAUGGCUCAGUGUGAAAAACUCCGGUGGUAUAAGAUGGACCCGCGUUGGAUUAGCUGGUUGGUGGGGUAACGGCCCACCAAGGCGACGAUCCAUAGCCGGCCUGAGAGGGUGAACGGCCACAUUGGGACUGAGACACGGCCCAGACUCCUACGGGAGGCAGCAGUGGGGAAUAUUGCACAAUGGGGGAAACCCUGAUGCAGCGACGCCGCGUGAAGGAAGAAGUAUCUCGGUAUGUAAACUUCUAUCAGCAGGGAAGAUAAUGACGGUACCUGACUAAGAAGCCCCGGCUAACUACGUG